rnacentral:tRNA from 1 species
GCCGCAUUAGCUCAGUGGUUAGAGCGUCGUCUUAGUAAGACGAAGGCCUCGAGUUCAAUCCUCGAAUGUGGCU